ACCAGCUCUUCAAGUGGUCGGGAUAAUUAUUGGGCUUAAAAUGUCCGUAGCCGGAUUGGAAAGUUCCUGGUAAAAUCGGGUAGCUUAACUAUCUGCAUGCUAGGAAUACUAUCAUUCUAGAGGGCGGGAAAGGUCUGAGGUACUACAUGGGUAGGGGUGAAAUCUUAUAAUCCUUGUAGGACCACCAGUGGCGAAGGCGUCAGACUGGAACGCGCCUGACGGUGAGGGACGAAAGCCAGGGGAGCGAACCGGAUUAGAUACCCGGGUAGUCCUGGCCGUAAACGAUGCAUACUAGGUGAUGGCAUGGCCAUGAGCCAUGUCAGUGCCGUAGGGAACCGUUAAGUGUGCCGCCCGGGAAGUAUGGUCGCAAGGCUAAAACUUAAGGAAUUGGCGGGGGAGCACCACAAGGGGUGAAGCCUGCGGUUC
rnacentral:rRNA from 1 species